rnacentral:rRNA from 1 species
GAUGAACGCUGGCGGCGUGCCUAAUACAUGCCAGUCGAGCGAACAGACGAGGAGCUUGCUCCUCUGACGUUAGCGGCGGACGGGUGAGUAACACGUGGAUAACCUACCUAUAAGACUGGGAUAACUUCGGGAAACCGGAGCUAAUACCGGAUAAUAUAUUGAACCGCAUGGUUCAAUAGUGAAAGACGGUUUUGCUGUCACUUAUAGAUGGAUCCGCGCCGCAUUAGCUAGUUGGUAAGGUAACGGGUUACCAAGGCAACGCUGCGUAGCCGACCUGAGAGGGUGAUCGGCCACACUGGAACUGAGACACGGUCCAGACUCCUACGGGAGGCAGCAGUAGGGAAUCUUCCGCAAUGGGCGAAAGCCUGACGGAGCAACGCCGCGUGAGUGAUGAAGGUCUUCGGAUCGUAAAACUCUGUUAUUAGGGAAGAACAAAUGUGUAAGUAACUAUGCACGUCUUGACGGUACCUAAUCAGAAAGCCACGGCUAACUACGUG